CCGGAAUCGCCCUGGAGCCUCCCAGCUCCCAGGGGGGCUACAACCGACACGGCCUCCCGACCGCCGGCAUCCUGGCAGCCCAGCAACCUUGGGGCUGCCGCCUGAUCCGCAGCACCCCUUGAACUGCCCGGCCCUGGGGACUCCCAUCUCCUUGGGGCUGCUGUCCGGCUCACAGCACCCCUAGUUCCGGUCUCUUCAGCCGGCGCCUGCCAUCUCCUGGCGCCCGGCCUCCUAUUUCCGUUGCGGGCACCCACUUCCGGGUUUUGCCCGUUGCCGGCAGAUGAGGUCACAUCCGGCGCGCCGGCCGUGCGCGACCGGCGUCGUGACGUCACUUCCGGCCGCGCCGGAAGAAAAGGCGGCGGGCUUCUCGACCUUCCCGCCAUGCCGCCAUCUUGGGAUUGGCCGCCGGAGGCCACCGCAACCCUCACCUGGGACCGGACCGCACGGGAGGGGGACCCAAGGCUCGGCUCCACAUCACCAGCCACACCAGUCCGCCUGCGCCUGCGGCCUUCUCGCUCUCCUCUCACCGGGCUGGGAGACAGUCGCGACGGCGGCCUUGAACGCCUGGCCCGCCG